rnacentral:rRNA from 1 species
CAUAGGUUAAUGAGGCGAACCGGGGGAACUGAAACAUCUAAGUACCCCGAGGAAAAGAAAUCAACCGAGAUUCCCCCAGUAGCGGCGAGCGAACGGGGAGCAGCCCAGAGCCUGAAUCAGUGUGUGUGUUAGUGGAAGCGUCUGGAAAGGCGCGCGAUACAGGGUGACAGCCCCGUACACAAAAAUGCACAUGCUGUGAGCUCGAUGAGUAGGGCGGGACACGUGGUAUCCUGUCUGAAUAUGGGGGGACCAUCCUCCAAGGCUAAAUACUCCUGACUGACCGAUAGUGAACCAGUACCGUGAGGGAAAGGCGAAAAGAACCCCGGCGAGGGGAGUGAAAAAGAACCUGAAACCGUGUACGUACAAGCAGUGGGAGCACGCUUAGGCGUGUGACUGCGUACCUUUUGUAUAAUGGGUCAGCGACUUAUAUUCUGUAGCAAGGUUAACCGAAUAGGGGAGCCGAAGGGAAACCGAGUCUUAACUGGGCGUUAAGUUGCAGGGUAUAGACCCGAAACCCGGUGAUCUAGCCAUGGGCAGGUUGAAGGUUGGGUAACACUAACUGGAGGACCGAACCGACUAAUGUUGAAAAAUUAGCGGAUGACUUGUGGCUGGGGGUGAAAGGCCAAUCAAACCGGGAGAUAGCUGGUUCUCCCCGAAAGCUAUUUAGGUAGCGCCUCGUGAAUUCAUCUCCGGGGGUAGAGCACUGUUUCGGCAAGGGGGUCAUCCCGACUUACCAACCCGAUGCAAACUGCGAAUACCGGAGAAUGUUAUCACGGGAGACACACGGCGGGUGCUAACGUCCGUCGUGAAGAGGGAAACAACCCAGACCGCCAGCUAAGGUCCCAAAGUCAUGGUUAAGUGGGAAACGAUGUGGGAAGGCCCAGACAGCCAGGAUGUUGGCUUAGAAGCAGCCAUCAUUUAAAGAAAGCGUAAUAGCUCACUGGUCGAGUCGGCCUGCGCGGAAGAUGUAACGGGGCUAAACCAUGCACCGAAGCUGCGGCAGCGACGCUUAUGCGUUGUUGGGUAGGGGAGCGUUCUGUAAGCCUGUGAAGGUGUGCUGUGAGGCAUGCUGGAGGUAUCAGAAGUGCGAAUGCUGACAUAAGUAACGAUAAAGCGGGUGAAAAGCCCGCUCGCCGGAAGACCAAGGGUUCCUGUCCAACGUUAAUCGGGGCAGGGUGAGUCGACCCCUAAGGCGAGGCCGAAAGGCGUAGUCGAUGGGAAACAGGUUAAUAUUCCUGUACUUGGUGUUACUGCGAAGGGGGGACGGAGAAGGCUAUGUUGGCCGGGCGACGGUUGUCCCGGUUUAAGCGUGUAGGCUGGUUUUCCAGGCAAAUCCGGAAAAUCAAGGCUGAGGCGUGAUGACGAGGCACUACGGUGCUGAAGCAACAAAUGCCCUGCUUCCAGGAAAAGCCUCUAAGCAUCAGGUAACAUCAAAUCGUACCCCAAACCGACACAGGUGGUCAGGUAGAGAAUACCAAGGCGCUUGAGAGAACUCGGGUGAAGGAACUAGGCAAAAUGGUGCCGUAACUUCGGGAGAAGG